CGACCUCAGAUCAAAAGUGGCGAUCCACUGAAUUUAAGCAUAUUACUAAGUGGAGGAAAAGAAACUAACCAGGAUUCCCUCAGUAAUGGCGACUGAAGAGGGAAGAGCCCAGUGGUGAAUCCCUGCCCGGGCGACGGGCGCAGGGAAAUGUGGCGUACGGAAGUCCAUCUCCCCGGCACCGCCCAGGGGGUCCAGGUCCUUGUGAUCGAGGCUCAGCCCGCGGACGGUGUGAGGCCAGUGGUGGCCCCCGGCACAUCGGGAUCAGGUCUUCCCAGAGUCGGGUUGUUUGUGAAUGCAGCCCAAAGUGGGUGGUAAUCUCCAUCUAAGGCUAAACACUGGCAUGAGACUGAUAGUGGACAAGUACCUUAAGGGAAAGUUGAAAAAAACUUUGAAGAGAGAGUUCAAGAGGGCAUGAAACCAUUUAGAGGUAAACGGGUGUGGUCCUCGCGGUCCGUCCAGAGGAUUCAACCUUGCGGCCGCUCUGGCCGCCCGGGCGUGGCUGAUCCCCCCCUCCCCCUCUGGAGGGAGUGGGGGACCGUCCCUGGGUGUGCCGGCCGCCGUCUGGUGCACUUCCUCUGAGGCGGUGCGCCGUGACCGGUUAUGGGUCAGCUAGGAAGGCCGCAUGGAAGGUGGCUCCCCUCUCUGGAGUGGAGUGUUACAGCCCGCAGCAUCAGCCCUCACUGUGCCCUGGGGUCAUGGGAGAUGACCGCCACCGCACCAUCCCCUGCCCUCGUGGUGGGGGCCCCCGGCUCCUGGUGGGACUGUCACUCCCGGGCCGACGAGCUCACCUCCGGAGCCAGGGUUUCGCGGCAAUGUCAGUGACCAACCCAUCCCGUCCUGAAAGACAGACCAAGGAGUCUAAAAUGUGCAUGAGUCUGAGGGCGGGCAGGAGACCCCAUGGCACAAUACAGGGGCACACCGUCGGCCCAUCUCACCCGGCCUGUCAGGGAGGUGGAGCAUGAGAGCACCUGGUGUGACCCAAAAGAUGGUGAACUAUGCCUGAGCAGGGUGAAGCCAGAGGAAACUCUGGUGGAGGUCCGUAGCGGUCCUGACAUGCAAAUCAGUCAUCCAACCUGGGUAUAGGAGCGAAAGACUAAUCCAACUAUCUAGUAGCUGGUUCCCUCGAAGUUUCCCUCAGGAUAGCUGGCGCUCAGAGGACGCAGUUUUAUCUGGCAAAGCAAAUGAUUAGAGGUCUUGGGGCCGAAACGAUCUCAACCUAUUCUCAAACUUUAAAUGGGUAAGAAGCCUGACUUGCUGGCUUGGAGCCAGGCGUGGAAUGUGAGCACCCAGUGAGCCACUUUUGGUAAGCAAAACUGGCACUGUAGGAUGAAAUGAACGUCGGGUUAAGGCACCCAAUGCUGAUGCUCAUCAGAACCCUGAAAAGGUGUUGGUUGAUAUAGAAAGCAGGACGGUGGCUAUUGAAGUCAGAAUCCACUAAGGAGUGUGUAACAACUCACCUGCUGAAUCAACUAGCCCUGAAAAUGGAUGGCGCUGGAGCAUUGGGCCCAUACCUGGCCGUCAUUGGCGCUGAGAGCUGAGGGGGCUAUGCCACGAUGAGUAGGAGGGCCACUGCAGUGGCACUGAAGCCCAGGGUGAGGGCCUGGGUGGAGCUGCCGUGGGUGCUGAUCUUGGUGGUAGUAGCAAAUAUUCAAACGAGAGCUUUGAAGGCCGAAGUGGUGAAGGGUUCAUUGUGAACAGCAGUUGAACAUAGGUCAGUCGGUCCUGAGAGAUAGACAAGUGCUGUUCUGAAGGGAUGGGUGAUGGCCUCCGUUGUCCUCAACCGAUUGAUAGGGAGUCGGGUUCAGAUCCUCGAAUCUGGAGCGGCAAAAACAGGCGCCUCGCGGCGUCCAGUGCAAUGAUGCAAAAAUUCCCAGAGAAGCUGGUGGGGGCCCCUGGGAGAGUUCUCUUUUCUUUGUAAAGGGCAGGGCACCCUGGAAUGGGUUCGACCGAACAAAGGGGCCCGUGCCCUGGAAAGCAUCGCGGUUCCGGUGGUGUCAGGUGAGCUCUCUCUGGCCCUUGAAAAUCCGGGGGAGAGGGUGUAAGUCUCAUGCAGGGCUGUACCCAUAUACACAGCAGGUCUCCAAGGUGAACAGCCUCUGACAUGUUAGAACAAUGUAGGUAAGGGAAGUCGGUAAGCCAGAUCCAUAACUUCGGGAUAAGGAUUGAUUCUAAGGGCUGGGUCAGUCGGGCUUGGGUGUGAAGCAGGGCUGGGUGUGCGCCACAGCUGGAUGAGGUGUCACCAGCCCUCACUGUGCUCCCUCAUCCUGGGGAGGCUGACGGGUAUGGCGGCUGUGACUCUGGACACGCACCGGGCCCUUUCUGUGGAUCACUCCAGCUGUAGCAGGCACCGGUCCUGACCGGCAUCCCACAUCGUCCGGCAGCUAGAAGCUGACAUAGAACUGGUGCAGACCAGGGGAAUCUGACUGUUUAAUUAAUACAAAGCAUCACGAAGGCCCUAGACAGGUGUUGACGCAAUGUGAUUUCUGCCCAGUGCUCUGAA